GGUUAAGUGACUAAGCGUACACGGUGGAUGCCUUGGCAGUCAGAGGCGAUGAAAGACGUAGUAACUUGCGAUAAGCCCAGAUUAGGUAGUAACAACCAUUUGAGUCUGGGAUUUCUGAAUGGGGAAACCCACGUGCAUAAGCACGUAUCCUUACCUGAAUACAUAGGGUAAGGAGGCGAACCGGGGGAACUGAAACAUCUAAGUACCCCGAGGAAAAGAAAUCAACCGAGAUUCCGAAAGUAGCGGCGAGCGAAAUUGGACUAGCCCUUAAGCUUUACACGCGUUAGACGAACGGUCUGGAAAGUCCGACGAUACAGGGUGAUAGUCCCGUAGUUGACGACGUGUGUUCAGUGAAAUCGAGUAGGGCGGGACACGUGAUAUCCUGUCUGAAUAUGGGGGGACCAUCCUCCAAGGCUAAAUACUACUGACUGACCGAUAGUGAACCAGUACCGUGAGGGAAAGGCGAAAAGAACCCCUGUGAGGGGAGUGAAAUAGAACCUGAAACCGUGUACGUACAAGCAGUAGGAGCAGGCUUUGUCCUGUGACUGCGUACCUUUUGUAUAAUGGGUCAGCGACUUAUAUUCAGUGGCAAGGUUAACCAUCUAGGGGAGCCGUAGGGAAACCGAGUCUUAACUGGGCGUUCAGUCUCUGGAUAUAGACCCGAAACCAGGUGAUCUAGCCAUGGGCAGGUUGAAGGUUGAGUAACAUCAACUGGAGGACCGAACCGACUAAUGUUGAAAAAUUAGCGGAUGACUUGUGGCUAGGGGUGAAAGGCCAAUCAAACCUGGAGAUAGCUGGUUCUCCCCGAAAGCUAUUUAGGUAGCGCCUCGGACGAAUACUACUGGGGGUAGAGCACUGUUAAGGCUAGGGGGUCAUCCCGACUUACCAACCCUUUGCAAACUCCGAAUACCAGUAAGUACUAUCCGGGAGACACACGGCGGGUGCUAACGUCCGUCGUGGAGAGGGAAACAACCCAGACCGCCAGCUAAGGUCCCAAAUUACUACUAAGUGGGAAACGAUGUGGGAAGGCUCAGACAGCCAGGAUGUUGGCUUAGAAGCAGCCAUCAUUUAAAGAAAGCGUAAUAGCUCACUGGUCGAGUCGGCCUGCGCGGAAGAUGUAACGGGGCUAAGUAGUAAACCGAAGCUGCGGCAAUAUACUUUUGUAUAUUGGGUAGGGGAGCGUUCUGUAAGCGGUUGAAGGUGUGUGGUAACGCAUGCUGGACGUAUCAGAAGUGCGAAUGCUGACAUGAGUAACGAUAAAGGGGGUGAAAAACCUCCUCGCCGGAAGACCAAGGGUUCCUGUCCAACGUUAAUCGGGGCAGGGUAAGUCGACCCCUAAGGCGAGGCCGAAAGGCGUAGUCGAUGGGAAACGGGUUAAUAUUCCCGUACUUCUUACAAUUGCGAUGGGGGGACGGAGAAGGCUAGGUGGGCCUGGCGACGGUUGUCCAGGUUCAAGUGCGUAGGCUUAAGAGUUAGGUAAAUCCGGCUCUUUUUAAGGCUGAGACACGACGUCGAGCACCUACGGGUGUGAAGUCAUUGAUGCCAUGCUUCCAGGAAAAGCCUCUAAGCUUCAGAUUGUAAGGAAUCGUACCCCAAACCGACACAGGUGGUCGGGUAGAGAAUACCAAGGCGCUUGAGAGAACUCGGGUGAAGGAACUAGGCAAAAUGGUACCGUAACUUCGGGAGAAGGUACGCUCUCGACGGUGAAGUCCCUUGCGGAUGGAGCUAUUGAGAGUCGCAGAUACCAGGUGGCUGCAACUGUUUAUUAAAAACACAGCACUGUGCAAAAUCGUAAGAUGACGUAUACGGUGUGACGCCUGCCCGGUGCCGGAAGGUUAAUUGAUGGGGUUAGACUUCGGUCGAAGCUCUUGAUCGAAGCCCCGGUAAACGGCGGCCGUAACUAUAACGGUCCUAAGGUAGCGAAAUUCCUUGUCGGGUAAGUUCCGACCUGCACGAAUGGCGUAAUGAUGGCCACGCUGUCUCCACCCGAGACUCAGUGAAAUUGAAAUCGCUGUGAAGAUGCAGUGUACCCGCGGCUAGACGGAAAGACCCCGUGAACCUUUACUACAGCUUGGCACUGAACAUUGACCCUACAUGUGUAGGAUAGGUGGGAGGCUUUGAAGCACGUACGCCAGUAUGUGUGGAGCCGUCCUUGAAAUACCACCCUUGUAGUGUUGAUGUUCUAACGUCGACCCCUAAUCGGGGUUGCGGACAGUGCCUGGUGGGUAGUUUGACUGGGGCGGUCUCCUCCCAAAGAGUAACGGAGGAGCACGAAGGUGGGCUAAUCACGGUUGGACAUCGUGAGGUUAGUGCAAUGGCAUAAGCCCGCUUGACUGCGAGAAUGACAAUUCGAGCAGGUGCGAAAGCAGGUCAUAGUGAUCCGGUGGUUCUGAAUGGAAGGGCCAUCGCUCAACGGAUAAAAGGUACUCCGGGGAUAACAGGCUGAUACCGCCCAAGAGUUCAUAUCGACGGCGGUGUUUGGCACCUCGAUGUCGGCUCAUCACAUCCUGGGGCUGAAGUCGGUCCCAAGGGUAUGGCUGUUCGCCAUUUAAAGUGGUACGCGAGCUGGGUUUAGAACGUCGUGAGACAGUUCGGUCCCUAUCUGCCGUGGGCGUUGGAAGAUUGAAGGGGGCUGCUCCUAGUACGAGAGGACCGGAGUGGACGAACCUCUGGUGUUCGGGUUGUGUCGCCAGACGCAUUGCCCGGUAGCUAAGUUCGGAAUCGAUAACCGCUGAAAGCAUCUAAGCGGGAAGCGAGCCCUGAGAUGAGUCUUCCCUGAUACUUUAAGUAUCCUAAAGGGUUGUCGGAGACUACGACGUUGAUAGGUCAGGUGUGUAAGUGCUGUGAGGCAUUGAGCUAACUGAUACUAAUUGCCCGUGAGGCUUAACCAU
rnacentral:rRNA from 1 species